CCUCACAUACUACUUCCUCUAGUAAAAUCUUGGCUGAACCUAUGGAUAUAGGAUUCGUAAAAGGUCCUCUUUCUCCCCAAGAGAAACUCAGACGACGCAACUUAAAUCUCUGCCUAUAUUGUGCUUCUGACGAUCACACAGUAAAAGAUUGUCCAUCCCUUCUCAGACAGAACAAGGUGGGAACAACAGCGGGCCAGCGCAUCCGCGAUAGUUGAUUCUGGAGCCACUGCUUCAUACAUAGAUAAGGAGUAUGUCACUGUAAAUAAAAUACCGCUAACCCAGAAAAA